rnacentral:rRNA from 1 species
GACGAACGCUGGCGGCGUGCUUAACACAUGCAAGUCGAACGAAGAGCGAUGGAAGCUUGCUUCUAUCAAUCUUAGUGGCGAACGGGUGAGUAACGCGUAAUCAACCUGCCCUUCAGAGGGGGACAACAGUUGGAAACGACUGCUAAUACCGCAUACGAUCUAAUCUCGGCAUCGAGGAUAGAUGAAAGGUGGCCUCUACAUGUAAGCUAUCACUGAAGGAGGGGAUUGCGUCUGAUUAGCUAGUUGGAGGGGUAACGGCCCACCAAGGCGAUGAUCAGUAGCCGGUCUGAGAGGAUGAACGGCCACAUUGGGACUGAGACACGGCCCAGACUCCUACGGGAGGCAGCAGUGGGGAAUCUUCCGCAAUGGGCGAAAGUCUGACGGAGCAACGCCGCGUGAGUGAUGACGGCCUUCGGGUUGUAAGGCUCUGUUAAUCGGGACGAAAGGCCUUCUUGCGAAUAGUGAGAAGGAUUGACGGUACCGGAAUAGAAAGCCACGGCUAACUACGUG